AUGGUACUCCCUCCGUCCGGAAAUACUUGUCAUCAAAAUGGAUAAAAGAGGAUGUAUCUAGAUGUAUUUUAGUUCUAGAUACAUCUCUUUUUAUCCAUUUUGAUGACAAGUAUUUUCGGACGGAAGGAGUAUCAC
rfam:Triticum aestivum genome assembly, contig: Triticum_aestivum_CS42_TGACv1_scaffold_424542_5BS